rnacentral:misc_RNA from 1 species
GAAUUCAAGGAAGGGAAUUUUAAACCUCCAGAAAUAAAAUCGAACAUAAAUCUGCCGGAAACUGUGGAUUUGUUUGGGCAAAAGAUAAGUCUCUCUCCUGUACAGCAAUCUCUAGGUCCUCUGGAAAACGCUGUGGCAGGCAUAGCACGAACUAUUUCUGGUCAGCCUCCUCUCAAGAUCCCAAUUCCAGGUGGAAGGACAAAAUCCUGGCUUCUCACAACCUACCUUGAUAAGGAUAUGCGGAUCUCCAGAGGCGAUGGUGGGCUUUUUGUGCUUGUUAAGGAAGGGAGUUCUCUUCUAUAUUAGUAAGGUAUCCAUUAUCCUAUAUUGUGAUUUACAAAUGUCUUAGGAACUGCAAUGGUAUGUACUGCUACAUCGAUUUAUCGCGGGAUGUAGAGUUUAAAACUCCUUAGCUGUAAGGUGGGACACUCUUUUAGGACUCAAGUACUUGCACUGAAUUAUCUCAGGAUCAAGCUGUGAGAUUAGUCCUAGUAAGAAGUGUGCUGAAAUAAAAUGUGAUAUAGCUUUGCAUUUUCCUAUGUAGUAAGAUAACGAUGUUUCAGUAAUUUGGAGGUCAAUCAUCUGUAAUUUCAGCUUAUCUGGA